rnacentral:snoRNA from 1 species
GCUGUCGUAUGAUGAUCAAACUAAAUACUUUCGUUGUUCUGAUGUGCCAUCUCAUGGUGCGGUGCGGAAGCAAUUUGGAGACCUGAACUGAGGAAAU